rnacentral:rRNA from 1 species
UAAGCGACUAAGCGUACACGGUGGAUGCCCUGGCAGUCAGAGGCGAUGAAGGACGUGCUAAUCUGCGAUAAGCGUCGGUAAGGUGAUAUGAACCGUUAUAACCGGCGAUUUCCGAAUGGGGAAACCCAGUGUGAUUCGUCACACUAUCAUUAACUGAAUCCAUAGGUUAAUGAGGCGAACCGGGGGAACUGAAACAUCUAAGUACCCCGAGGAAAAGAAAUCAACCGAGAUUCCCCCAGUAGCGGCGAGCGAACGGGGAGCAGCCCAGAGCCUGAAUCAGUGUGUGUGUUAGUGGAAGCGUCUGGAAAGGCGCGCGAUACAGGGUGACAGCCCCGUACACAAAAAUGCACAUGCUGUGAGCUCGAUGAGUAGGGCGGGACACGUGGUAUCCUGUCUGAAUAUGGGGGGACCAUCCUCCAAGGCUAAAUACUCCUGACUGACCGAUAGUGAACCAGUACCGUGAGGGAAAGGCGAAAAGAACCCCGGCGAGGGGAGUGAAAAAGAACCUGAAACCGUGUACGUACAAGCAGUGGGAGCCUCUUUAUGGGGUGACUGCGUACCUUUUGUAUAAUGGGUCAGCGACUUAUAUUCUGUAGCAAGGUUAACCGAAUAGGGGAGCCGAAGGGAAACCGAGUCUUAACUGGGCGUUAAGUUGCAGGGUAUAGACCCGAAACCCGGUGAUCUAGCCAUGGGCAGGUUGAAGGUUGGGUAACACUAACUGGAGGACCGAACCGACUAAUGUUGAAAAAUUAGCGGAUGACUUGUGGCUGGGGGUGAAAGGCCAAUCAAACCGGGAGAUAGCUGGUUCUCCCCGAAAGCUAUUUAGGUAGCGCCUCGUGAAUUCAUCUCCGGGGGUAGAGCACUGUUUCGGCAAGGGGGUCAUCCCGACUUACCAACCCGAUGCAAACUGCGAAUACCGGAGAAUGUUAUCACGGGAGACACACGGCGGGUGCUAACGUCCGUCGUGAAGAGGGAAACAACCCAGACCGCCAGCUAAGGUCCCAAAGUCAUGGUUAAGUGGGAAACGAUGUGGGAAGGCCCAGACAGCCAGGAUGUUGGCUUAGAAGCAGCCAUCAUUUAAAGAAAGCGUAAUAGCUCACUGGUCGAGUCGGCCUGCGCGGAAGAUGUAACGGGGCUAAACCAUGCACCGAAGCUGCGGCAGCGACGCUUAUGCGUUGUUGGGUAGGGGAGCGUUCUGUAAGCCUGUGAAGGUGUACUGUGAGGUAUGCUGGAGGUAUCAGAAGUGCGAAUGCUGACAUAAGUAACGAUAAAGCGGGUGAAAAGCCCGCUCGCCGGAAGACCAAGGGUUCCUGUCCAACGUUAAUCGGGGCAGGGUGAGUCGACCCCUAAGGCGAGGCCGAAAGGCGUAGUCGAUGGGAAACAGGUUAAUAUUCCUGUACUUGGUGUUACUGCGAAGGGGGGACGGAGAAGGCUAUGUUGGCCGGGCGACGGUUGUCCCGGUUUAAGCGUGUAGGCUGGUUUUCCAGGCAAAUCCGGAAAAUCAAGGCUGAGGCGUGAUGACGAGGCACUACGGUGCUGAAGCAACAAAUGCCCUGCUUCCAGGAAAAGCCUCUAAGCAUCAGGUAACAUCAAAUCGUACCCCAAACCGACACAGGUGGUCAGGUAGAGAAUACCAAGGCGCUUGAGAGAACUCGGGUGAAGGAACUAGGCAAAAUGGUGCCGUAACUUCGGGAGAAGGCACGCUGAUAUGUAGGUGAAGUCCCUCGCGGAUGGAGCUGAAAUCAGUCGAAGAUACCAGCUGGCUGCAACUGUUUAUUAAAAACACAGCACUGUGCAAACACGAAAGUGGACGUAUACGGUGUGACGCCUGCCCGGUGCCGGAAGGUUAAUUGAUGGGGUUAGCGCAAGCGAAGCUCUUGAUCGAAGCCCCGGUAAACGGCGGCCGUAACUAUAACGGUCCUAAGGUAGCGAAAUUCCUUGUCGGGUAAGUUCCGACCUGCACGAAUGGCGUAAUGAUGGCCAGGCUGUCUCCACCCGAGACUCAGUGAAAUUGAACUCGCUGUGAAGAUGCAGUGUACCCGCGGCAAGACGGAAAGACCCCGUGAACCUUUACUAUAGCUUGACACUGAACAUUGAGCCUUGAUGUGUAGGAUAGGUGGGAGGCUUUGAAGUGUGGACGCCAGUCUGCAUGGAGCCGACCUUGAAAUACCACCCUUUAAUGUUUGAUGUUCUAACGUUGACCCGUAAUCCGGGUUGCGGACAGUGUCUGGUGGGUAGUUUGACUGGGGCGGUCUCCUCCUAAAGAGUAACGGAGGAGCACGAAGGUUGGCUAAUCCUGGUCGGACAUCAGGAGGUUAGUGCAAUGGCAUAAGCCAGCUUGACUGCGAGCGUGACGGCGCGAGCAGGUGCGAAAGCAGGUCAUAGUGAUCCGGUGGUUCUGAAUGGAAGGGCCAUCGCUCAACGGAUAAAAGGUACUCCGGGGAUAACAGGCUGAUACCGCCCAAGAGUUCAUAUCGACGGCGGUGUUUGGCACCUCGAUGUCGGCUCAUCACAUCCUGGGGCUGAAGUAGGUCCCAAGGGUAUGGCUGUUCGCCAUUUAAAGUGGUACGCGAGCUGGGUUUAGAACGUCGUGAGACAGUUCGGUCCCUAUCUGCCGUGGGCGCUGGAGAACUGAGGGGGGCUGCUCCUAGUACGAGAGGACCGGAGUGGACGCAUCACUGGUGUUCGGGUUGUCAUGCCAAUGGCACUGCCCGGUAGCUAAAUGCGGAAGAGAUAAGUGCUGAAAGCAUCUAAGCACGAAACUUGCCCCGAGAUGAGUUCUCCCUGACUCCUUGAGAGUCCUGAAGGAACGUUGAAGACGACGACGUUGAUAGGCCGGGUGUGUAAGCGCAGCGAUGCGUUGAGCUAACCGGUACUAAUGAACCGUGAGGCUUAACCU